ACCCAAGGAGGAAGUUCCGGCUUAAUUACGUGCCAGCAGCCGCGGUAAUACGUAGGGAGCGAGCGUUAUCCGGAUUUAUUGGGUUUAAAGGGUGCGUAGGCGGUGCUAUAAGUCAGCGGUGAAAUUCUCCGGCUCAACCGGGGGACUGCCGUUGAUACUGUGGUGCUAGGAUAUGGUUGCUGUGGGUGGAAUGUGUGGUGUAGCGGUGAAAUGCUUAGAGAUCACACAGAAUAUCGAUUGCGAAGGCAGCUCACAAAGCCAUUAUUGACGCUGAGGCACGAAAGUGUGGGGAUCAAGCAGGAUUAGAUACCCUGGUAGUCCACACUGUAAACGAUGAUAACUCGCUGUCGGCGAUAUACAGUCGGUGGCCAAGCGAAAGCGAUAAGUUAUCCACCUGGGGAGUACGACCGCAAGGUUGAAACUCAAAGGAAUUGACGGGGGCCCGCACAAGCGGAGGAACAUGUGGUUUAAUUCGAUGAUACGCGAGGAACCUUACCCGGGCUCGAACGGUGCAGGAAUACAGCAGAGAUGUUGUAGCUAGCAAUAGUCUGUAUCGAGGUGCUGCAUGGUUGUCGUCAGCUCGUGCCGUGAGGUGUCGGCUUAAGUGCCAUAACGAGCGCAACCCUUGUCGUUAGUUGCCAUCAGGUAAAGCUGGGGACUCUAACGAGACUGCCACCGUAAGGUGUGAGGAAGGGGGGGAUGACGUCAAAUCAGCGCGGCCCUUACGUCCGGGGCGACACACGUGUUACAAUGGUAGGUACAGAGGGCAGCUACCCGGUGACGGGAUGCCAAUCUCCAAAACCUAUCUCAGUUCGGAUCGGAGUCUGCAACUCGACUCCGUGAAGUUGGAUUCGCUAGUAAUCGCGCAUCAGCCAUGGCGCGGUGAAUACGUUCCCGGGC
rnacentral:rRNA from 1 species